rnacentral:rRNA from 1 species
UACGGAGGGUGCAAGCGUUAUCCGGAUUCACUGGGUUUAAAGGGUGCGUAGGCGGGUUGGUAAGUCAGUGGUGAAAUCUUCAAGCUUAACUUGGAACUGCCGUUGAUACUAUCAAUCUUGAAUAUUGUGGAGGUAGCGGAAUAUGUCAUGUAGCGGUGAAAUGCUUAGAUAUGACAUAGAACACCGAUAGCGAAGGCAGCUUGCUACACAAUAAUUGACGCUGAGGCACGAAAGCGUGGGGAGUCAAACAGG